rnacentral:tRNA from 1 species
GUCGGCGUGGCGGAAUUGGUAGACGCGUACGGUUGAGGGCCGUAUGAGCUUUGCUCGUGGAGGUUCAAGUCCUCUCGCCGACA